UACGUAGGGUGCAAGCGUUAAUCGGAAUUACUGGGCGUAAAGGGCGCGUAGGCGGCCUUCUAAGUCGAACGUGAAAUCCCCGGGCUCAACCCGGGAACUGCGUCCGAUACUGGAAGGCUUGAAUCCGGGAGAGGGAUGCGGAAUUCCAGGUGUAGCGGUGAAAUGCGUAGAUAUCUGGAGGAACACCGGUGGCGAAGGCAGCUCUCUGGGACGGUACUGACGCUGAGACGCGAAAGCGUGGGGAGCGAACAGG
rnacentral:rRNA from 1 species